rnacentral:lncRNA from 1 species
CCUGGGGACAGCGACACGGGGCCAUUGUCACCAUCGCUGCCACUGCAUUGUCACACCAUUGUCACCAUCGUUGUCACCAUCGUUGUCACUCCAUUGUCACCGUUAUUGUCACCGUUAUUGUCACCAUCGUUGUCACCAACCCCCCGUCCCCCCACGCCGUGCCACCCUCCCAGGUCCCCUCCGGGUGGUGGCACCUCCGCGUUGGGGACAUGGGGACACGGGGGUGACAUUGUCCCCCAAGGGUGGGAUGGCACUGUCCCCCAAGGGUGGCACUGUCCCCCAAGGGUGGAAUGGCGCUGUCCCCAAGGGUGGGAUGGCAUUGUCCCCCAGGGAUGGCGCUGUCCCCAAGGGAUGGCAUUGUCCCCAAGGGAUGGCAUUGUCCCCAAGGAAUGGCACUGUCCCCAAGGGUGGCACUGUCCCCCAAGGGGUGGCACUGUCCCCUGGGGUGGCACUGUCCCCAAGGAUGGGAUGGCACUGUCCCCAAGGGGUGGCACUGUCCCCAAGGGUGGCACUGUCCCCAAGGGAUGGCACUGUCCCCAAGGGAUGGCACUGUCCCCCAAGGGCUGGCAUUGUCCCCAAGGGGUGGCACUGUCCCCAAGGGAUGACACUGUCCCCCAGGGAUGGCACUGUCCCUAGAGUGGCAUUGGUGGCAGUGCCCAGGGUGGCCCGGCCGUGAUUGUCACUUGCCCGGGGUUGGUGGCCCUGGGGACACGGCCGGGGUGGCUCUGGGGACAAGGCAAGGCUGGCGGUGGCAGUGACAGGGGUGGCCUUGGGGACACGGCCGGGGUGGCAGUGACAGGAAUGGCGGUGACAGGGGUGGCAGGGACAGAGGGUGACACAGUGACAGGAGUGGCCUUGGGGACACGGCCGGGGUGGCAGGGACAGGGGUGGCAAUGGCAGGUCAUAGCCAUUGUCACCCCAAGCGAUGGUGACAAUGGGUUGGUGACAGGGGUGGCAGUGACAGGGG